rnacentral:lncRNA from 1 species
CUAGACUCAAUGCUCUUAAUACAGUGGUUUCUACUUAUCAUUUAUUAGUCUGAUUUUCAAUAAGGAAUGGUGCCGAAGAAAUGCAAGGAGAUCAAAUGCUUACUAAGUGUACUUCUUAAUAGCUACAAACAUGAAGAAACCAAUAGAAACCUUGCCAAUUGAAGUAUCUGACCAAAAAGAUGAAAUUAAGAUCAGCAAAAACUGAGG